CGUGGGGCGGGCGUCCGCGAGAGAGCAACCGCGGCGGUUUUCCCGGCGUGCGCCUCCGUGCCGCACAGCUCCUCCCUCCUCUGCCUACCACUGAGUUUGCUGGAUGAUCAAGGGGGUUCCAAGGCAGCCCAGGAAAAAGCCUCCACAGCAAGCAGCACUUCCUUGCCUGUCCAGACCAGGAAAUAACAGAGCUCCCCUCAGCUGGGCCCAAGUGGAGCAUGAGCAGGGGUCACUGGCCAGUUCAGAAACUCCCCUUCGGGGUGACCUGGGCUCCUUCCUCAGUUCUGAGGCCCUGAGUCUGGCACCCUGGCCAUGUGCAGCCCUGAGGAGGCAGCCCUGCUGCGGCUGGAGGAGGUCUUCUCAGCCACACUCGCACGCAUCAACAGCUUUGUCCUCCAGCCCCUUCUGGAGGCCGUGUGCUUGUGCUCCUGCUCCAGCUCCAGAGCCCUCAGAUCCCUGGGGCAGAGAGUGCCUACGGCUCCUGCAGCAGGUGCACAGGAGCUCCCAGCAGCUGUGGGAGGUGAUGGAGGAAAGCCUGCACUCAUUGCAGAAGAGGCUGCGCCACCCGGACUCCAUCAGUCUGGAAUCCCUGCUGCUGCUGCACAGCGCUGACCGUGUCCUGCAGGUCCACCUGGAGUACCUCGAGUCCUACACAAGCUGCGUGGCAGUGCAGGCCUUUCAGAAGGCAGUAAAGAGGAGGAGAGAGUACUGGCAGGGCCAGCGGAAGGCGCUGCAGCAGCUCCUGUCGGGCAUGAACUCAGAGGGCUCGGUGGGCACAGCGCUGGUCCAGGCCCUCCGCCAGCCACUCACCCAUCAUGUGCAGCAGUACGUGCUCCUCCUGCUGAGCCUCGGGGACACUGUCGGGGAGCGUCACCCCGCCCGGGAGCUGUUGGUGCACGCAGCCACAGUCUUUGGGAACUUGCAGUCCUUCAUGAGGCAGGAGCUGGACCAGGCCAUGGCCACGCAGGCCCUCUGGCACACUCUGAGCAGCCGGCUGAGGGAUGUGCUCUGUACCCCCGCUCACCGACUCUUGCAAGACAGCCAGGACAUACCUGUGACGGUCACCCCGCUGAGGGCAGAGCGUGUGCUGCUCUUUGAUGAUGCCCUUGUCCUGCUACAGGGCCACAGUGUCUACACCUUUGAUCUGAAGCUGGUGUGGGUGGAACCUGGGCAGGACGGGUGCAUGUUUCACCUCCUCACACCUGAGGAAGAGUUCUCCUUUUGCUCCAAGGACCCGCAGGGCCGGGUGGCCUGGCAGUGGAAGGUUACCCAGGCUGUGUGCCAGACCUUGCGUGGGAAGAAGGACUUCCCGGUGCUGGGGGCGGGCCUGGAGCCUUCUGAACCCCCCACCUGCCGCUGUGGAGCAUACACCUUCCGUGCGGAGGGCCGCUUCAGCCAGGCCACCUAUGAGGGCGAGUGGUACGGGGGCAGGCCCCAUGGCAAGGGAACCCUGAAGUGGCCAGACGGGCGGAAUCAUGUGGGGGAUUUCUGCCAGGGCCUGGAGCACGGCUUUGGCAUCCGCCUGGUGCCCCAGGCCUCCGAGGAUAAGUUUGACUGUUACAAGUGCCACUGGCGGGAAGGCAACAUGUGCGGCUAUGGCAUCUGUGAGUACAGCACCAGCGAGGUGUACAAGGGCUACUUUCAGGAAGGCCUGCGGCAUGGAUUUGGGGUCCUUGAGAGCACCCCGCAGACCCCUCAGCCCUGCAGGUACACGGGCCACUGGGAGAGGGGCCAGAGGAGUGGCUAUGGCAUCGAGGAGGAUGGCGACAGGGGUGAGCGCUAUAUUGGCAUGUGGCAGGCUGACCAACGCCAUGGCCCAGGGGUCAUGGUCACCCAGGCAGGUGCCUGCUACCAGGGGACCUUCCAGGCAGAUAAGAUGGUGGGCCCAGGGAUCCUUCUCUCGGAAGACGACUCCUUGUAUGAGGGCACCUUCACCAGGGACCUGACCCUCAUGGGGAAGGGCAAGGUCACCUUCCCUAAUGGCUUCACCCUGGAGGGCUCUUUUGGCAGUGGGGCAGGGAGAGGACUGCAUACCCAGGGUGUGCUGGACACAGCUGCCCUCCCUCCAGAUCCAGGCAGUACCCGCAAGAGGCAGCUGGGCCUGGGCGUCUUCCCCGUGGAGAACCGCUGGCAGGGCGUCUAUGGCCCCUUCCAGGACUUUGUUCAAGCUGGCUGCCCUGGAGACCUGCAGGAGGCCCUGCUGGGCUUCCACGUGCAGAGCUCAAGGGAGCUGCGGAAGUCCCAGGAGUACCUGUGCUGCGAGAGGACCCACCCCGAGGACCACGCAGGCAGAAUGGAGGACAUCCUGGAGGAGCUGCUGCAGCACCGGGCGCCCGAGGCCCUGCAGCAGUGCCUCAAGAAGGCCCUGAACAACUCUCUGCAUCCCCUGGGAAAGCUGCUCCGGACUCUGAUGCUGACCUUCCAGGCCACAUACUCAGGCAUUGGGGCCAACAAGCACCUGCAGGGGCUGGCGCAGGAGGAGGUGAAGCAGCACGCCCAGGAACUCUGGGCCGCCUACAGGGGUCUGCUGCAGGUUGCCUUACAGUGCAAGGGCCAGGCCCCAGAGGAAGAUGAAGAUGCAGAGACAAGGGAACUGCAUGUGCACAGAUUGGUGCUACCCCUUGUCCUGCCCAGCUUCUACUCGGAGCUCUUCACUCUCUACCUGCUUCUUCAUGAGAGGGAGGACAGCCUCUACAGCCAGGGCAUUGCCAACCUGAGCCUCUUCCCCGACACCAAGCUGCUUGAGUUCCUGGACGUACAGAAGCACUUGUGGCCCCUGAAGGACCUCACGCUGACGACCAAUCAGAGAUACUCCCUGGUCAGAGACAAGUGCUUCCUGUCAGCCACGGAAUGUCUGCAGAAGAUGAUCUACCCUGCUGCAGCACCACGGUGGACCCCCGGGAGAAGCUGGAGGUGCUGGAGAGGACAUAUGGGGAAAUUGAGGCCACUGUGUCGCGGGUGCUCGGCCAGGAGCACAAGCUGCCCAUGGACGACCUGCUGCCGCUGCUCAUCUACGUGGUGUCGCGUGCCCAAAUCCAGCACCUGGGAGCCGAGAUCCACCUGAUCCGUGAUAUGAUGGCCCCUAUCCACACAGGAGGCCUGUAUGACUUCUUGCUCACGGCCCUGGAGUCCUGUUACGAGCACAUCCAGAAGGAGGACAUGAGGCUGCAUCGCUUGCCCAGCCGCUAGAACUCCAGGGAACCGUGGUAGCUCAGCUUCUCCUGGACAAACCUCAGAGCUGAGAGGGGCCACCGUGGAAUUCCCGUGGAGUGAGCGUGGCCCAGUCUGGCCCUUGUGGCCCACAAGACAGAAGGCAGGAUGAGCCCUGGAGGUGGCUCUUGGAGGAGAUGAGCAUUUAAUUUCUCGCAGGGAGAUGCUGCUGCUGUCCUGACUGGGAGGAGGGUGAGGGCGAUGGGUGUGGCCCCAGAGCUGGUGGUUUCCCCUCCCCUGCCCCCUGCCACUCUCUAGGCCAGCCUCGGAUGACCUUCUUGACCUGCAGCAGCUCAUGGACUGGGGACAAGGAGCCCCUGGCUUCUCCUUGCCUCAUCCUUGCCUCCAAGUUAUUGAGCCUCUCUGGGCCUCAGUGUUGCCAUCUGUAAAAUGGUGGACUACAUGGUCUGUAAAGGGCCUUCCAUCCA